UCUGUUUCUUUUGUGUAAUUUAGCGCUAACGAGGUUAAUCCUUAGACAUUUAAAUUAAUUAUCGCCUGUUGUUAAUUACGUUACGGUAGCGGAGCGGCCCUCUGACCCGUGCCUUUCACAAACGUUUGACUCUUGACGUAUGAACACUAAACCAGACACCAAGCCAAUGCCCGGUGGAGAUUUCUCUGGCUACAACUGGCGCCCAAAUAUCUCAAGGGUCUAAGCUUCCAAAAAGAGAAGAAAUUGGACCUAGCCCCCGAAACCACGCCAGGUCGGGACAGCCUGAAGCCGCAGUUAAAUUGGCAAUAUUCUACCGUUUCGGAACUGGACCAGUUUUACAUGCCUGCUAGAAGGCAGCACCCUCGAAGUGGUCUUAACGUAAGUGCAGGUAGCAUACAAUUCCUACAACCAAUGCGUGCGAUGCAGAUUACCCAUCUCUGCGUUGGCGGUUCGUCCUAAGUCCCAUCGCUCCCCGGUCGAAGCCGGAAAGACGGUUCCGGACGCUAGUGACAGCUCUACGUUAGCUACUUCGUCAGUUGCAAUGGUUACGUCACCUGCUGAUCUUCCGGAAUAUACGGCCGCCUGCUGCGAAUAAGUGCGUGAAGUGACAGCAGUGCGAUGAGCGCGAAAUAUCACUCGACAACGUUCUGAGGUACAGGAUAUCAAGCAGGAAGCUCAUUUCUUCCUUUUCUUUGCAUCAUUUGGUCUCUCGUAAACGUGUGCGCCUGCUACUAAUUCAGUUUAUCGGAAUAGAUGUUUGCUGUCGCAUUCCUCCAUGCCCCCCCCCCCUUGGUACGCGAACGCGCACUAAAGUCCUAGCAAGGCGGAUUCAGGUGCUUCCAUCAACUACGGGCAAGCACAUUUCCAAGAGAAUUAUCUACGCCCUGUAUCGUCGUCAUGUAAUAGGAACAGGACACAGGACAAAAUCUCAGACCAAGAUUCAAGAGGGAAUGGUGUCCUGUCAUGAGCUCAACAGGAAACAGAUGAUAUAUCUCCACAGUCCAGAGCAUUGAUGUGUAGCGUUGUUUGAUUCAAUAAGCUCUUAGGUGUCCACACGCAGUUUUUGAAAAGAGGUAUCACGCGUUUGGAUCUUUGCGCAGAGAAACAAUUUUCCGGACCUGUUUGUGAUAAUAA
rnacentral:lncRNA from 1 species